rnacentral:rRNA from 1 species
GAGGUGGCAAGCGUUGUCCGGAAUUAUUGGGCGUAAAGCGCGCGCAGGCGGUUCUUUAAGUCUGAUGUGAAAGCCCACGGGCUCAACCGUGAGGGUCAUUGGAAACUGGAGAACUUGAGUACAGAAGAGGAAAGCGGAAUUCCACGUGUAGCGGUGAAAUGCGUAGAGAUGUGGAGGAACACCAGUGGCGAAGGCGGCUUUCUGGUCUGUAACUGACGCUGAGGCGCGAAAGCGUGGGGAGCAAACAGGAUUAGAUACCCUGGUAGUCCACGCCGUAAACGAUGAGUGCUAAGUGUUAGGGGGUUUCCGCCCCUUAGUGCUGCAGCUAACGCAUUAAGCACUCCGCCUGGGGAGUACGGCCGCAAGGCUG